CGGGGGGAGCAAGCGUUGUUCGGAUUUACUGGGCGUAAAGGGCGCGUAGGCGGCCAGCGCAAGUCAGUUGUGAAAUCUCCGGGCUUAACUCGGAAAGGUCAACUGAUACUGCGCGGCUAGAGUGCAGAAGGGGCAACUGGAAUUCUCGGUGUAGCGGUGAAAUACGUAGAUAUCGAGAGGAACACCUGCGGCGAAGGCGGGUUGCUGGGCUGACACUGACGCUGAUGCGCGAAAGCCAGGGGAGCGAACGGGAUUAGAUACCCCGGUAGUCCUGGCCUUAAACGAUGGAUGCUUGGUGUCUGGAGUUUUAUAGUCUCCGGGUGCCGCAGCUAACGCGUUAAGCAUCCCGCCUGGGGAGUACGGUCGCAAGACUG
rnacentral:rRNA from 1 species